CUGGAGGUGGGGAUGCAC
rnacentral:miRNA from 1 species